AUUGGCUGUGCUUUCAAACAGAGGAGGCACCAAGGGAAAUGGCUGCUCACUGUUUUUAGAGCAGAGUUGCUGCAGAUCUUGUGGAAGUUGUGAGCCAUCAUCUAGGGCCUGAUGUGCUGUCAUGAGAGUUGUCAUCUGUAACUGCGGACACCCCAAGCUGGGAAGAAUGUGACAGAAAUGGACGCAGAAUCUCAUCUUUCACACUCUCCAGAGACCAUCAAAGGAAGUGAAGUCAGGUGAUGGACAUGGACAGCUGAGAAAAACAUUAAGAAACAUGAGAGCACGUGGGCAUGAGCCACCAGACAUCAAAGCUGAAAGUUAACAGAAAAGAUGCGAUGUGGAAGUCUGGAAGUGAGUGUCAAACCAACCAACGGAACAAAGCAGAGC